UUCGUAGGGUGCAAGCGUUGUCCGGAAUUAUUGGGCGUAAAGAGCUCGUAGGCGGUUUGUUGCGUCGGCUGUGAAAUCCCGAGGCUCAACCUCGGGUCUGCAGUCGAUACGAGCAAACUAGAGUGUUGCAGGGGAGACUGGAAUUCCUGGUGUAGCGGUGAAAUGCGCAGAUAUCAGGAGGAACACCAAUAGCGAAGGCAGCUCGCUGGGACGUUACUGACACUGAGGCGCGAAAGCGUGGGGAGCGAACAGG
rnacentral:rRNA from 1 species